AUCUGGUCUCCAGGAAGCCUCUUCCCACUGCCUUCACCUGCCCCGAGCCAGGGUUUGUCCUGUCUUGUUGGUCUGUCUGGUUUGGAUUCCUAAAUAGUGUGAUCUUUUAUUUUCUUUUUUAAAAAAGGCACAAACACCCACAUGUGAACAGGGGAAAUUGGUUCGUCAGGGGGUAAAGAGGGGGGCCCAUUUCCGGGCUGAAGGCCCCAACCGUAGCUUCGAGGCUCCGGGCUGUUCAGUUGUCAGAAGUGCUCCUCCUACUCGUGGCCACCCUAGGCCUCAGCCUGUGGCGGGCGGCUCUGGGCUCCCUCCCCAUGGGCCUCCCACACAUCAGCCCUGGAGGCUGGCGGAGGACGACAGAGAUGAGGGAGCAGGGCAGCCCCCACCUGAGCCACCCCCUUCGUUCCCUCCCUGUCCUUGCCCCCAGGUACCCGCCUGAGCCCAGAAUGUCCUGCAGAGACCCCUCAGGUGUGGCCUUCCUCCCCUCCUUCCCCAGGGACCAGAGACUGUCCAAGGGCAGGCCCAGGCAGGGCUCCUGGAGAGUCCACAGAGGGAAACCUGGGCCUUGAGGUCCUAGUACCCACUGCCCAUGGGCACACCCCCCAGGCGGGCACAGCCAGUCAAGGUUUGGAUGCCGUGGACACGUCUCCAGCCCUUUUGAAAUGAAAACAUGACUUUUCAUCUUUCUGUGGCGCAACUAGUUUAUGAUUGUCUAAAGUCUCUGAAUGUGCUUCCUGGACUCUGUAUCUUGUGGCUACUUUUUCAAACCGCAAUGAUAAAAGGCCAGAAGCUCUGCAAGUGCCCCCUGAAGGCUCCGCUGCUCGGCCAGGACCUCUCACCAGACCUGGACCGGGUACAACUCGGCCAGCGGCAUGACCAGCUGCCGCCGUCUGCAGAUUCAGUGGCUGGAGGUGGCCGCACAGUGAGAGGGCCAGGUGGCUGGGCCCAGGUCCAGGUCCCUGGAGGGCGCUCCCCUGUCACCGAACACCACAUGGACCUGAAGACCUAUGGAGGCAGAGGGGGUGUGACAACACCCUGUCUAACGUCUACCCCCCGCUUACAGCCUCUUUCCCCCUCUGCUCAGUGCUCAGGGUGCCCCAUAAGCCCAUUGUCUCCUCCACGGUGGGGCAGAGUGGAGGCUUCUGUCCCCCGAUUCCACGACAAGGCUUCUCUUAGCUCUUCCCUGGAUGUAUAUUCCUGGACUCAGCCGUGUCCCUCCCCAGGCUCUGGUGUCCCUCUGACCGCUCGGCAGAGCCUGGGGACCACCAGGUGGGGAGCCUGAGUUCUUCAACCUCUUCAACCCCAGUCCUCCGCUGGGUGAUCACGAGCGGUGGGAGCCUUCUUGGCUCCUAAAUUAAUGCCAAGCACAGCCUGGCACUCAGCGGGCAGCCUGCCUCUUCCCGCACCUGGCCGGCGGCAGCUGGAAGCCCACGAGAGCCAGGUCCUCCCCUUGGGCUCGGUGCAACCUCCACCGCACCCCCACGGCCCACCCUUGGGAAGGCCGCCAGAGACACGGGAGAUGGAUCACUGGUGAAGGGUCAUGAGCCGGGCAGCGGGGCCUGAGGCAGGAGCAGCAUGAGGAUCAAAGCGUCGCAGGGAAAAGACAUUUGAGGCAUCUUCCCAGGGACAGCUGCCACCUCUACCCCUGACAGGAGGCCACAAGGAGGCCACAUGGACCCCUGCUGUGGUUCUCCACAAAGCCUGCAUCUAGGCCGGGCGUGGUGACUCACGCCUGUAAUCCCAGCACUUUGGGAGGCCAAGAUGGGCAGAUCACGAGGUCAGGAGAUCGAGACCAUCCUGGCUAACAUGGUGAAACCCCGUCUCUACUAAAAAUACAAAAAAUUAACUGGGCGUGGUGGCGGGCGCCUGUAGUCCCAGCUACUCGGGAGGCUGAGGCAGGAGCAUGGCGGGAACCCGGGAGGCAGAGCUUGCAGUGAGCCGAGAUCACGCCACUGCACUCCAGCCUGGGCUACAGAGCGAGACUCAAAAAAAAAAAAAAA
rnacentral:lncRNA from 1 species